rnacentral:rRNA from 1 species
GAUGAACGCUAGCGGGAGGCCUAACACAUGCAAGCCGAGCGGUAUUUGUUCUUCGGAACAGAGAGAGCGGCGCACGGGUGCGGAACACGUGUGCAACCUGCCUUUAUCUGGGGGAUAGCCUUUCGAAAGGAAGAUUAAUACCCCAUAAUAUAUUGAGUGGCAUCAUUUGAUAUUGAAAACUCCGGUGGAUAGAGAUGGGCACGCGCAAGAUUAGAUAGUUGGUGAGGUAACGGCUCGCCAAGUCAAUGAUCUUUAGGGGGCCUGAGAGGGUGAGCCCCCACACUGGUACUGAGACACUGACCAGACUCCUACGGGAGGCAGCAGUGAGGAAUAUUGGACAAUGGGUUAGCGCCUGAUCCAGCCAUCCCGCGUGAAGGACGACGGCCCUAUGGGUUGUAAACUUCUUUUGUAUAGGGAUAAACCUACUCUCGUGAGAGUAGCUGAAGGUACUAUACGAAUAAGCACCGGCUAACUCCGUG